rnacentral:rRNA from 1 species
AUGGAGAUGGUGGCGCUGCGGAGCCAGGAGGGCGUGGAUUUCGUGGUUCCCGCGGAGGAGGCCAGGGUGUCCAUGUUCUUACGUCGUAGGAUGGAGCUCGACCGCGAAAACUACAUCGUCCCCGCCGACGGCGACGAGACCAAGUAUACCCACAUCUUGCUCCGCUCCAUCCGAGCGGACGUCCUGCCCAAGGUUCUGCACUACUGCAAGAGGCACGCCAUUGCCACCGACGACGACCGGGACCUCGGCGACUGGGACGCGGAGUUCGUCGGCAGUGUCGACCUCGACACCCUCUACGAUCUCAUCCUGGCUUCGGAGAAGCUCGAGGUCCGAGGGCUCCUUGGUCUGGCCUGCCGGGCCCUCGCCGGCAAGAUCAAGGGGAAGUCGCCACGCGAGACCUGCCAUAUCCUCGACGUCAGGGGCGUCUUCGACGACGCCAAUCAUGACCUCAAGUUGGUGGAGAAGGCGUUGGCGGCUCUUAACAUAGUCCGUUGCCAGGACUUCACCCAAUACGAACCCAAGCUCAAUGCUUUCAAGUGUAGUCGAUACCACAAUUUUGAGAACCUAGCCUUCUUCGACUUCGACAAAGAAUCCAGCUUCCAACGUGGUCCGCCGCUCCACAAGUUACCUUCACCCGAGUCGAUCCAGCGAUAUUGCCUCAAUGUCAUUUCUGUCAAGGCGCGCGAAUCGGAUGUUGGCUAUCCGAUCAGUGUGUUUGGAACCGUUAUAGCGAGGGACUAUGUCGACUAUAGAUGCGUCUAUCUGUUUAGGCGUGAAAGGGAUGAUCCCCAGCUCAUCAGCUCUCCCGAUGAUAUGUUAUCUUUGGUAGAUCCAUGUCGAGCACUUGUUCCGAUAGACAACGUUUAUUUUGAGACUGAUUUAAAGAUCAAGUGUGAUGGAGGGGCAGAUAGAGUUUUCAGUAAAGGCAUAACGGAAUUCAAUUGGGUUUGCAUCCCUACAUACAAGCAAACCAUGGCGGUCAGUGUGUAUAGUUUCCUGAGUGACAUGGAGUUUUUAUGUGCACUGGUACACGAACCCGUGGAAGCCACCAUUGCAAUCAAUGUUUUGAAGGGGCCAUGUAAUAUCUCAAGAGUAGCCGCUUCGGCUCCCGGAAACUUCAAGGAUCAUGUCGUUCUAUACGAAUCAGCGGGCAGUCCGACGGUAGUCGGCGAUGGUGACUCCAUCCCGUUAACUCGGAGCGUGGUAGCUAUCUCUCUAGAUCAAAAGUUGGCGCUCUUCCUUGUUGGUGGUGACGCGUGUGAACACCUUGCUCUCACUCUAGGACAUUCCGAUCAAGUGCUUAUUCGCAAGAUGGGUUGUGCGGUGUUGGAGGUAAUAGUUGGUUGGACAUAUGUGCCGAGAAGAGAGAGGCCUAAUAUGUUUAAGGUUAUCGGAAAACAUACACGCCUCUUGCUGUGA